GAGUGGUAACAGGAAGAUUGGGUUUCGGCGAUAUUCUUUCCCUCUCAACCAGGGCUCCAAAUUUGUUAUCAUCAGUCCAAAAGGGUUAAAACUGGCAGUCCUAUUCCUCAUUCGAGCACUCCCCCUGGCCCUCCUGCUAUUUCUUCACCUGUCCAUUUAUCUGGCCCAAUGGUAUUGGAAUUAAAUGGUUCACGAGUGAUCUGAGCCUGUAGCUAAGGGCCUGCAAAGUGGAAACAGCAAAAGUUUGCACCAGUUUUGAGCAUUCAGUGUGUUGGGGUUCAAGUCUACAUGGCCGAAACACUAAUGCAGAGAUGGAAUAAUAUGCAGUCAGUGCUCAAGGUGCCCCAAGUUCGCAUUUCUAGUCUGCACGGCUUGCUUAGUCA
rnacentral:lncRNA from 1 species